GAGUUUGAUCCUGGCUCAGAACGAACGCUGGCGGCAUGCCUAACACAUGCAAGUCGAACGAGACCUUCGGGUCUAGUGGCGCACGGGUGCGUAACGCGUGGGAAUCUGCCCUUGGGUUCGGAAUAACACAGAGUAAAUUUGUGCUAAUACCGGAUGAUGUCUUCGGACCAAAGUAUUUAUCGCCCAAGGAUGAGCCCGCGUAGGAUUAGGUAGUUGGGUGGGGUAAUGGCCCACCAAGCCGACGAUCCUUAGCUGGUCUGAGAGGAUGAUCAGCCACACUGGGACUGAGACACGGCCCAGACUCCUACGGGAGGCAGCAGUGGGGAAUAUUGGACAAUGGGGGCAACCCUGAUCCAGCAAUGCCGCGUGUGUGAAGAAGGCCUUCGGUU
rnacentral:rRNA from 1 species